GGUUCGAUUAUGGCUCAGAUUGAACGCUGGCGGGAUGCUUUACACAUGCAAGUCGAACGGCAGCACGGAAUUUCGGUCUGUGGCGAGUGGCGAACGGGUGAGUAAUGUAUCGGAACGUGCCUAGUAGCGGGGGAUAACUACGCGAAAGCGCAGCUUAUUUUCCGCGGCUGCUCCCCUUCGGGGGAAAGCGACUCCGGCCUCGCACCAGGAGCGGCCGAUAUCGGAUUAGCUAGUUAGGUAACGGCUCACCAUGACGAUCCAGCUGGUUUGAGAGGACGACCAGCCACACUGGGACUGAGACACGGCCCAGACUCCUACGGGAGGCAGCAGUGAAUUUUGGAUAAUGGGGAAACUCCUGGGAUCCAGCCAUCCCGCGUGUGCGAUGAAGGCCUUCGGGUUGUAAAGCACUUUUGGCAGGAAAGAAACGGCACGUGGGAUAAUACUCCCGUGCAACUGACGGUACCUGCAGAAUAAGCACCGGUUAACUACGUACAGCAGCCGCGGUAAUGUAGGGUGCAAGCGUUAAUCGGAAUUACUGGGCGUAAAGCGUGCGCAGGCGGUUCGGAAAGAAAGAUGUGAAAUCCCAGAGCUUAACUUUCUUGGGAACUGCAUUUUUAACUACCGAGCUAGGAGGCUGAGGGAGGUGGAAUUCGCGUGUAGCAGUGAAAUGCGUAGAUAUGCGGAGGAACACCGACGGCGAAGGCAGCCUCCGGGAGAACACUGACGUCAUGCACGAAAGUGGGAGCAAACAGGAUUAGAUACCAUCUGGUAGUCCAUGCCCAAACGAUGUCAAUUAGCUGUUGGGGCCCUCGGCCUUGGUAGCGCAGCUAACGCGUGAAGUUGACCGCCUGGGGAGUACGGUCGCAAGAUUAAAACCUCAAAGGAAUUGACGGGACCCGUACGCGGUGGAUGAUGUGGAUUAAUCUGAUAAACGCUGAAAACCUUACCUACCCUUGAUGUCUGGAAUCCUGAAGAGAUUUGGGAGUGUCGUGCUAGAACUGGAAACGACAGGUGCUGUAUGGGCUGUCGUCAGCUCUCGUCGAGAUGUUAAGUCCCGCAACGACGCAACCUUGUCAUUAGUUGCUAGAAAGGGCACUCUAUACUAGAGAUCGGUCGUGGUGACAAAACCGAGGAAGGUGGGGAUGACGCCCGUCCUCAAUAUGGCCCUUAUGGGUAGGGUCAAUGUCAUACAAUGGCUCGGACAGAGGGUCGCCAACCCGCGAGGGGGAGCCAAUCCCAGAAACCCGAUCGUAGUCCGGAUCGUGCUCCGCAACUCGACUGCGUGAAGUCGGAAUCGCCAGUAAUCGUGGAUCAGCAUGUCGCGGUGAAUACGUUCCCGGUCUUGUACACACCGCCCAAGCACCAUGGGAGUGGGUUUUACCAUAGUUAGUCAACCGUAAGGAGGCGAUU
rnacentral:rRNA from 1 species